CCUCUGGGCAGAGUUCGGGGCUCAUUGCGUCAGGAUGUCCCACCGUGCCCCUCUUGGCCCCGUGCCUUGAGGGAGCUGUCGUGCUCCGGGUUUGCUGGGCCCCCGGCCACACCUUGCCCCUCCCAGGAGCCAGCCUGCACUGCCAACUGUCGGGCCCCUUUGGCUGCUGCCAGCCUCCUAGAGGGUCACGGGGUCCGUGAGGGUCAGGGCCGGACUGUCGGCCUCUCCCUCUGCCCUGCCUGCUGCCAUGGCCCAGGACAGGCCUGCCUCCCAGGUCUGCCUGGAGAGGGCCCGGGACCCCUCUGCCAUCUGGGCCUCGCGUGUUUACAGGCCCAGCCUGCCCGCCAGACUCCGCAGACGCCGCCCCAGGGCUUUUGUGUCUGCACGCCGGGCCUGCGCCAGCCGCUGCCUGAGGGCGGGGAGGGGGGCGGCCCCCCUGGGGGACAUCAGGGACGGGGGAAAGAGAGACCUGGCGGGAGUGUGACAGCAGAGGAGAGAGCAAAGGAGUGGAGGCAGAGAGCAGGCCAGGCCCGGGGAAGGGCGACGCCAGAGCGAAGGGCCGGGGGCCGCCAGGCCGUCCCGGGGAGACAGGGCUGUGGGCUCCGCUCACGGCUGCCCAGUGCGGCCCUCUCCGGGGCACUUCCUGUGGACUCCCCCCAGCCUCCCAGCGGAGACACGGCCCUGAGAGCUGGGUCCAGCACCCGGGCUGGGGCACCAGUGUGCCCCUGGGACCGACCCCCGGGGCCUGGCAGACACGCAGGAGGCCCUCAGGGGCAGCCAGAUCCUCUCGGGGCACCACGGGCCAGGAGAUCCUCGAGGAUCUGGAAUUCCCCCGGGGCAGGGGUCGCUGAGGGACCCUUUUUCCAGGCCGUGACCCCAGACACCCAGCAAUCUUAGGCUCAGCACGUACAGCUUCUCAACGUGGCUCUGCCAUGGGGUGCUGGGCCCACCACACACGCCUGCGUGUCCUGGGGACCCACAUCCAUGCAAACCCCUAAAGAGCCAGCGGGGCGGCCUCUAUCCACAGGUCCCCAGGGCGCCAGGGAGAACAGGGACAAUUCCCUGCAGAAAACCGGCCACCAGUGGUACUGACUGGGCCCCACGUGGCUCCCGCCCAGCGUGGGUGGAGCACCAGGGUGGGCAUAGGGAAAGAAGCCAGGGCGCUGCCCGGGACCCAGACCUGGACACAGGCCCUGCCUGGCUCUACACCUGCCCGUCUCCAUCAGAGCACAGGCCCGGCUGUGCCCCCAGAUGUGUAGGUAGCGUCUCCCCUGCUGGCUGCAGCGAGGUCCGUGCUGACCCCCUGGACCUGUCUGCCAUCUUUAAAGCGAGACUGGCCUCCAUCCUGGGUUCUCCCUCUGCAGGGGCAGAGAGGGGCAGGGAGUGGCAGUGGCCGGAUCGGCGCCCAGAGCAGGGUUGCUGGGCUCUGCCUUACGUCUGGGGUUCUGAAGCAGGCACUGGCUGACCGGGGGAGACAGACGCGCCUCUCGUCCAGAGGAAGCGGGGAAGGGGCUCCCCAGAAGGGACGAGUCAGGCAAGCAGGACAGGAGUCUUGAGGCGCCAGGGGAGGCCGGGGCUGUUGUGGGCGGCUCUGGCGGGGUCAGGCAGGGUCUCAGUGCUGCAGGCGGUCAGGAGAGCUGAGGCCGCACACCCCUGGGGUGCUUCCUGGCAGCUGCCCCUGUGCCCCCUUCCCCCUGCACUGGACAGGCAGGAGGUGCCAGCCUGGACCUCGGUGGGGUGGCUGUGCCGCGUGUCCCUAGAAGGCAGGAGAGCCCCUC
ensembl:lncRNA